rnacentral:lncRNA from 1 species
CAUGAUUUGGAAAGGCACACACCUGUCUAUAUAAGGUCCCACAGUUGACAGUGCAUGUCAGAGCAAAAACCAAGCCAUGAGGUCGAAGGACUUGCUCUCGACCUUUAAGUUGUUAUUGAAGACUCAUCUCUUCAGUGGGUCCUAUGAUUGAGUGUAGUCUGGCCUAGGGGUGUGAAGGUGAAGGGAAAGGCACUGGAGCGUGGAUCCGCCCAUGCUGUCUCUGCCUGGCCGGUUCCCCUCUCUCCACUGGGAUUCUCUGCCUCUAACCCUAUUACGGGGGCUGAGUCACUGGCUUACUGGUGCUCUUCCAUGCCGGUGCACCCAUGACCAGCUCGGAAACCAGAUUGCAUAGUGGAGAAGAGGAUGCAUAACAAUCAAUGGAAGACCCUGAGCAGGAAAUGGCAGCCAGAUGACAUGGAGGAGUGCAGAGAUGCACAGCCAUCUACAGAUGUCCAAAAAGGGACAUCUUGCACACCAUCGAAACAAGCAAAACUACAACCAGGAUAAAAUAUUCAAUAAAUUAAAAAUUUAAAAAUUAAAAAAAAACUACAACCAGGAGGACCACACACCUCACAAAGCCGGGUUAAUCACCUGGUAUUUGACUUCAUCAUAAAGAUUCUACCUUCAAUCAUCUGAGUAGGCUAGUUUUAGAAUAGGCCUACUGCAAUGCCAUGUCUAGUGUGUGGGUUUAUUGCACCUAGCUGCACUUUUUUCACUUAAACUUAAAACUACUUGGUGGACUAAAUGUGUGAUCACACUGCAUGUUAUACAACAAAAACGUUUUCUUCAUAUUUCCAAUUCACAUUUUUGUCAUUUAGCAGACAUUUUUAUCCAGAGCGACUUACAGUAAUGAGUGCAUACAUUUUCAUACUUUUUUUGUACUGGUGUCCCGUUGGAUAAGUGUUUAGCACCAUCCAUGUUGCUGUGUUACUUAAACCCUUACUUCUACCUUGUUUUAACAUGUACAUUUGACCUGCAAGUUGUGUUUGUGCCCACAUUUUUAGAUAGGUGUGCAUGAUUUAAAGACGCAUUGUGGUCUGACUGUGAUCCAAUCUUAUAGGUGUAAAUGGACAAGAUCAGGAUGAAGGACGCAUGUUAGAGGCAGGUAUACAGGGCUUAAAUACAUUUUUGUCACAAUGUUUUGUGAUGUGUUCUAAUGUGGCUCUGCUUAGUGGCUCAAACACCCUGCAAUAAAGGUUGUUAAAUUGGUCAUAUUUUUUUUCUUAUGUGUUUUACAGGUGAAAGUAAUCAGACCACGUUACUGAGUUUAGGUAAUCCAAAAAUGACGUAACUGAUUACAAUUUUAGACAGGUG